GCAUAUCAAUAAGCGGAGGAAAAGAAACCAACAGGGAUUGCCCCCAGUAACGGCGAAGUGAAGCGGCAAGAAGCUCAAAUUUGAAAGCUGGCCCCCGCGGGGUCCGCGUUGUAAUUUGCAGAAGGAUGCUUCGGGUGCGGCCCCCGUCUAAGUGCCCUGGAACGGGCCGUCAUAGAGGGUGAGAAUCCCGUCUGGGACGGGGAGUCCGCGCCCGUGUGAAGCUCCUUCGACGAGUCGAGUUGUUUGGGAAUGCAGCUCUAAAUGGGUGGUAAAUUUCAUCUAAAGCUAAAUAUUGGCCGGAGACCGAUAGCGCACAAGUAGAGUGAUCGAAAGAUGAAAAGCACUUUGAAAAGAGAGUGAAACAGCACGUGAAAUUGUUGAAAGGGAAGCGCUUGCGACCAGACUCGCCCGCGGGGUUCAGCCGGCAUUCGUGCCGGUGUACUUCCCCGCGGGCGGGCCAGCGUCGGUUUGGGCGGCCGGUCAAAGGCCCCUGGAAUGUAACGCCUCUCGGGGCGUCUUAUAGCCAGGGGUGCCAUACGGCCAGCCCGGACCGAGGACCGCGCUUCGGCACGGACGCUGGCAUAAUGGUCGUAAGCGACCCGUCUUGAAACACGGACCAAGGAGUCUAACAUCUACGCGAGUGUUCGGGUGUCAAACCCGUGCGCGCAGUGAAAGCGAACGGAGGUGGGAACCCGUCCGGGUGCACCAUCGACCGAUCCUGAUGUCUUCGGAUGGAUUUGAGUAGGAGCGUAGCUGUUGGGACCCGAAAGAUGGUGAACUAUGCCUGAAUAGGGCGAAGCCAGAGGAAACUCUGGUGGAGGCUCGCAGCGGUUCUGACGUGCAAAUCGAUCGUCAAAUUUGGGUAUAGGGGGCGAAAGACUAAUCGAACCAUCUAGUAGCUGGUUCUGC
rnacentral:rRNA from 1 species